rnacentral:rRNA from 1 species
CCUACGGGAGGCAGCAGUGAGGAAUAUUGGUCAAUGGAUGGAAAUCUGAACCAGCCAAGUAGCGUGCAGGAUGACGGCCCUAUGGGUUGUAAACUGCUUUUAUGUGAGAAUAAAGUUAGGUAUGUAUACUUAUUUGCAUGUAUCACAUGAAUAAGGACCGGCUAAUUCCGUGCCAGCAGCCGCGGUAAUACGGAAGGUCCAGGCGUUAUCCGGAUUUAUUGGGUUUAAAGGGUGCGUAGGCCGUUUGAUAAGCGUGCUGUGAAAUAUAGUGGCUCAACCUCUAUCGUGCAGCGCGAACUGUUGAACUUGAGUGCGUAGUAGGUAGGCGGAAUUCGUGGUGUAGCGGUGAAAUGCUUAGAUAUCACGAAGAACUCCGAUUGCGAAGGCAGCUUACCGUAACGUUACUGACGCUUAAGCACGAAGG